AGGAAAGCAGGGGAUCGCAAGACCUUGCGCUCUUGGAGCGGCCGAUGUCUGAUUAGCUAGUUGGUGAGGUAAAGGCUUACCAAGGCGACGAUCAGUAGCUGGUCUGAGAGGACGACCAGCCACACUGGGACUGAGACACGGCCCAGACUCCUACGGGAGGCAGCAGUGGGGAAUUUUGGACAAUUGGGGAAACCCUGAUCCAGCCAUGCCGCGUGAGUGAAGAAGGCCUUCGGGUUGUAAAGCUCUUUCAGCCGGAACGAAACGGUCACGGCUAAUACCUGUGAUCACUGACGGUACCGGAAGAAGAAGCACCGGCUAACUACGUGCCAGCAGCCGCGGUAAUACGUAGGGUGCAAGCGUUAAUCGGAAUUACUGGGCGUAAAGCGUGCGCAGGCGGUUUUGUAAGUCAGAUGUGAAAUCCCCGGGCUUAACCUGGGAACUGCGUUUGAAACUACAAGGCU
rnacentral:rRNA from 1 species